GAUGAACGCUGGCGGCGUGCCUAAUACAUGCAAGUCGAGCGAACAGACGAGGAGCUUGCUCCUCUGACGUUAGCGGCGGACGGGUGAGUAACACGUGGAUAACCUACCUAUAAGACUGGGAUAACUUCGGGAAACCGGAGCUAAUACCGGAUAAUAUAUUGAACCGCAUGGUUCAAUAGUGAAAGACGGUUUUGCUGUCACUUAUAGAUGGAUCCGCGCCGCAUUAGCUAGUUGGUAAGGUAACGGCUUACCAAGGCAACGAUGCGUAGCCGACCUGAGAGGGUGAUCGGCCACACUGGAACUGAGACACGGUCCAGACUCCUACGGGAGGCAGCAGUAGGGAAUCUUCCGCAAUGGGCGAAAGCCUGACGGAGCAACGCCGCGUGAGUGAUGAAGGUCUUCGGAUCGUAAAACUCUGUUAUUAGGGAAGAACAAAUGUGUAAGUAACUAUGCACGUCUUGACGGUACCUAAUCAGAAAGCCACGGCUAACGACG
rnacentral:rRNA from 1 species